AAUUUAUAAUUAGCUUAAGUAACGUUAAGCUAUCCUUAGUAAGUUAGUAAGUUUGAUACACGUUAGCUAUAACGUGUUUGUUUGUGUAAACUUUGCUACUGCAAAGGUCAAGGGAGGUUUUUUUUGCUCAAGAAAUUAUGAGCAAUCCCUCGCUGACGUUGUUCAUCGUUGGUCACGAAGAGCAGUAACGGCGUUACUGCGUAGGCGACGUUACGGUCCUACCGGCAGGCAGCAGCCACCGUGAUGGCUUCAAACUGACCAAAUUCACCCAAACUCUAGCUUUAUCCUGCAGUCCUCGCGACGGGGACGUAAGCUCUCAACAAUGCUCACAAAAUUGUCUUCACUGCACAAUCCUAAAAUAACCUGUGCCGCUCAGAGGAUUGUCCUAAUGCCAUUACAUGACUACUGAGCAAGCAGGAGAGACAGUGAAGGGUUGCGACAGGAGGAGCAGGGACACUUCACCUUAUGACACCAAAGAAUAAUCUUCCCAACUCUGGGCCUCAAAGACAGACUUCAAUGAGGGGACUGCCUUCCCCCAUCCCUCAGGCUCCCCUGAAGGCUGCCUCCAGCAGCAUUGGGUUUCACCACAUCUAAG